AAAAAAAAACAAUAUAAAAGAAAAGCAAGAAGUUCCUCAAAUUCUGACAAAUCGUCUGGUCCGCGCGGUCCGUUUUCUUUCGAUGUCGUUCACAAGAGGUCGUGGAUGCCGGCACUAAUUCUACUCCCGCACCACUCAAUAAAUCCUUUCACGGCGGACGUGGCGGAUUCAAGUUUAUCGUAACGAUGUGCUUGAGGAUGUGCUGCUGCCUACGAUGUUCAAAAUGUCGUGUGACUACCUGCAUAAUGCUCCCUCCGGAACUCAUGUACUGCAGUUGGAACAACAACAUCGGAUGAAUAGCCAUUUAACGGCGGAUGCCAAGAAUCAAUCAGACACUGCUCGCAAGGAAGCCGGCACCAAGGUUACUCAGUAGGCAUCUGUCGAAUGUGACAACGAGAUCAAUUUAAUCGGAUUAAAUGAGUAUUUUGACGGCAUGGACCAAGGCAUGGACUAUAUUUUAGGGCCGAGGAAAUAUGGAAUCAUAAAAUUAUUGAGUUUCCGACGGACUGAAUCAUCUACGACAGGAAAAUUCGAAAUUUAAAGAGAAGCGUUUGAAUCCGUAUGAA